rnacentral:misc_RNA from 1 species
AAGUCGUAACAAGGUCUCCGUUGGUGAACCAGCGGAGGGAUCAUUAAAGAGUUCUAUAACUCCCAAACCCAUGUGAACAUACCUUACGUUGCCUCGGCAGGUCGUGCCUACCCCGUAGCGCCCUACCCUGUAGGACCUACCCGGUAGACGCGGGUAAGCCUGCCGGCGGCCCACGAAACUCUGUUUAGUAUUGAAUUCUGAACCUGUAACAAAAUAAGUUAAAACUUUCAACAACGGAUCUCUUGGUUCUG